rnacentral:rRNA from 1 species
CCUACGGGAGGCAGCAGUGGGGAAUUUUGGACAAUGGGCGAAAGCCUGAUCCAGCAAUGCCGCGUGAGUGAAGAAGGCCUUCGGGUUGUAAAGCUCUUUUGUCAGGGAAGAAACGGUGAAGGCUAAUAUCCUUUGCUAAUGACGGUACCUGAAGAAUAAGCACCGGCUAACUACGUGCCAGCAGCCGCGGUAAUACGUAGGGUGCAAGCGUUAAUCGGAAUUACUGGGCGUAAAGCGUGCGCAGGCGGUUUUGUAAGUCUGAUGUGAAAUCCCCGGGCUCAACCUGGGAAUUGCAUUGGAGACUGCAAGGCUAGAAUCUGGCAGAGGGGGGUAGAAUUCCACGUGUAGCAGUGAAAUGCGUAGAUAUGUGGAGGAACACCGAUGGCGAAGGCAGCCCCCUGGGUCAAGAUUGACGCUCAUGCACGAAAGCGUGGGGGAGGCAACAGAGUAGAUACCUACGGUAGUCCGACCGCCCGUAACCGAACUAGUCUACUAGUUAGUUCGGGUUCGUUAUUAGUACUUGGUUAACG